ACAGCAGCCGCCGCGGUAAUACGGAGGGUGCAAGCGUUGCUCGGAAUCACUGGGCGUAAAGGACGCGUAGGCGGAUUAUCAAGUCUCUUGUGAAAUCUAACGGCUUAACCGUUAAACUGCUUGGGAAACUGAUAAUCUAGAGUAAGGGAGAGGCAGAUGGAAUUCUUGGUGUAGGGGUAAAAUCCGUAGAUAUCAAGAAGAAUACCUAUUGCGAAGGCGGUCUGCUGGAACUUAACUGACGCUAAUGCGUGAAAGCGUGGGGAGCAAACAGGAUUAGAGACCCCGGUAGUCCCUGUCUCUUAUAC
rnacentral:rRNA from 1 species